rnacentral:tRNA from 1 species
GCGGCCGUGGCGGAAUGGCUUACGCAGCAGACUUAGAAUCUGUGGUCUUAAAUGACUUGUGGGUUCGAAUCCCACCGGCCGCA